rnacentral:tRNA from 1 species
GCCGGUGUGGCUCAGUGGUAGAGCAUCAGCCUGUGGACUGAAGGGUUCCAGGUUCGAUUCCCGGUCAAGGGCA